rnacentral:piRNA from 1 species
AUAUCAAAGUGGACCUGUCCUUCAA